AGUGAACGCUGGCGGUAGGCCUAACACAUGCAAGUCGAACGGCAGCACAGUAAGAGCUUGCUCUUACGGGUGUCGAGUGGCGGACGGGUGAGGAAUACAUCGGAAUCUACUUUUUCGCGGGGGAUAACGUAGGGAAACUUACGCUAAUACCGCAUACGACCUACGGGUGAAAGCAGGGGAUCUUCGGACCUUGCGCGAGUGAAUGAGCCGAUGUCGGAUUAGCUAGGUGGCGGGGUAAAGGCCCACCAAGGCGACGAUCCGUAGCUGGUCUGAGAGGAUGAUCAGCCACAUUGGAUCUGAGACACGGUCGAGACUCUUACGGGGGGCAGCAGUGGGGAAUAUUGCACGAUGGGCGCAAGCGUGAUCCAGCAAUACCGCGUGGGUGAAGAAGGCCUUCGGGUUGUAAAGCGCUGUUGUUGGGAAAGAAAAACAGCAGGUUAAUACCCCACUGUUCUGACGGUACCCAAAGAAUAAGCACCGGCUAACUUCGUG
rnacentral:rRNA from 1 species